rnacentral:rRNA from 1 species
AUUGAACGCUGGCGGCAGGCCUAACACAUGCAAGUCGAGCGGAGCGGCGGACGGGUGAGGAAUGCCCAGGACUCUGACUGGUAGUGGUGGAUAACGUUCGGAACUGGGCGCGAAUACUGCAUACUAUCCGAUGCGCAUAGGCCGGAUGAGCUAGUUGGUGGGGUAAAGGCCUACCAUGGCGACGAUCCGUAACUGGUCUGAGAGGAUGAUCAGUCACACUGGAACUGAGACACGGUCCAGACUCCUACGGGAGGCAGCAGUGGGGAAUAUUGGACAAUGGGCGAAAGCCUGAUCCAGCCAUGCCGCGUGUAUGAAGAAGGUCUUCGGGUUGUAAAGCACUUUAAGCUGGGAGGCGUUACCCGCAGAAUAAGCACCGGCUAACUUCGUGCCAGCAGCCGCGGUAAUAC